AAACGAAAAAUGUCGUGUGUCUGAGCCACGAUACUCUGCGGUAAUCAUCAUUUUUUUGUAAAAAUAUGAUUCAUUUGCACAACCGGCGGUGCAGAUGAACGACCGACUGACGAGCUCGAAGCGAAACAUACGGCUGCACAAGUUGGACAAAAAAAAGAGCAUUCGGCAGCUUCCUUCCAAUAGUCGUCACCGGACCAUGAUACUCCUUGUAGACGUUCUGCAAGAAGUACGUCCUUUACGCCCUCUCAAUGAACUACCCAGCCUUGAGCGCUUCCUGUUCCGUAAAUCCGCACACAUCAAUCAACCGCUUGAGAGCCUCCGCCUCCCGGAACGCUCUCCUCAACUCUUAUCCGAAAUCCGCACCUGGAAGUGCUUCCGGAACACCUCCCGGAUCAUCGUUACGGUCCGUUCCGCUUUCUCUGCUUUGUCAAUGCCCAGCUCGCCCAGCAGUUAGAUAAUGUCCAGGCUGGUGUCCACGACCCAGCUUACCACGACCUGGUUCUCAUGGCGCACCAGCUUCACCUGCGGGAAAUGAUCGAAGCAAUCCGAAUUCGUGUCUUAAAGUGUAGAAUACUUCGAAUGGAAAUGGUGCCCGAAGUACAAAGGCAAGGUGUACACCGGAAAACGGCGGAAAAUUGCGACUUGGACCUGAUCGAUCAGUGGAUUAAGAGAUACUUUUAAUGCUUUUGUUGGCUACGGCUAACGAUUGCAGCGUGAGUUUGGCAAACGCCUUCACAGAUCCGACUUCAGGCGGAAAUUCUGAGGACUUGUUUCCGGCGGACAGUCUUCUAACGGAGGACACUCUGCUCAAGUCGAUCCUUGAGGUGAAGGCGUCUUCGUUGCCCUCGUGUGGCGCCAGAUGCUCCAGAGUAACUCGGGCUCCGGCAUGAACCUGAGUCCGCACUAAGACCUUUCCCGAAGGCACGGAGAGGAAAAGAGCAACAACCUCCUGGACGAGGAGAACUUCUGGUGGUACGCGAAUCCGCUCAAGGAACGUGCCAGAUCAACCACCCGUGCUCGAUGCCCUGUCUCAGCACUUCCGUCCGGGUCGCCUCGCCGCCGACUUCACCGAGCACGAGAAGGACCCGCCGCGGUGACGUUGCCGGCCAUAAAGACUUGGGCAAGUGGAGCAUCAACAAAUACACGGCAUAUUUUUCCAAUCAAAAGCAAAACACAACUGAUUGAAUCAAAAUUCCGUA